AACGAACGCUGGCGGCAGGUUUAACACAUGCAAGUCGAGCGGAUGAGGGGUGCUUGCACCCCGAUUCAGCGGCGGACGGGUGAGUAAUGCCUAGGAAUCUGCCUGGUAGUGGGGGACAACGUUUCGAAAGGAACGCUAAUACCGCAUACGUCCUACGGGAGAAAGUGGGGGAUCUUCGGACCUCACGCUAUCAGAUGAGCCUAGGUCGGAUUAGCUAGUUGGCGAGGUAAAGGCUCACCAAGGCGACGAUCCGUAACUGGUCUGAGAGGAUGAUCAGUCACACUGGAACUGAGACACGGUCCAGACUCCUACGGGAGGCAGCAGUGGGGAAUAUUGGACAAUGGGCGAAAGCCUGAUCCAGCCAUGCCGCGUGUGUGAAGAAGGUCUUCGGAUUGUAAAGCACUUUAGGUUGGGAGGAAGGGCAGUAAGUUAAUACCUUGCUGUUUUGACGUUACCGACAGAAUAAGCACCGGCUAACUUCGUGCCAGCCGCCGCGGUAAAAC
rnacentral:rRNA from 1 species